rnacentral:misc_RNA from 1 species
UUUCCGUAGGUGAACCUGCGGAAGGAUCAUUAUAAAUGAAAAACGAAUAACUUCAGGGAAGAAGGGAACCUGCACGGUGACCUCCCCUGUCGGGCCACCCAAUACCUUCAAAAUGCCGCCGUCCUAGCGGUGGCAGACGAAAAAAAAACAAGAAAAACAAAAUAGAAACAGGCACGGUGGCCCGUUCACCUUCACACAACCCCCCGAGUACCGCUUCCAUGUUGCUUCCCCGCAAAUCCACCUCUUUGGUGAGCGCGGGGGAGGUCCGCAUCAAAUUCACCUGAAUGUCACAGCAGUCAGACAGCCAUUCAUGGAAACAAUAAAACUUUCAACAACGGAUCUCUUGGUUCCC